rnacentral:rRNA from 1 species
CAGCCGCCACGGUAAUACGAAGGGUGCAAGCGUUAAUCGGAAUUACUGGGCGUAAAGCGUGCGUAGGCGGUUUCUUAAGUCUGCUGUGAAAUCCCCGGGCUCAACCUGGGAAUGGCAGUGGAUACUGGGAGGCUAGAGUGUGUCAGAGGAUGGUGGAAUUCCCGGUGUAGCGGUGAAAUGCGUAGAGAUCGGGAGGAACAUCAGUGGCGAAGGCGGCCAUCUGGGACAACACUGACGCUGAGGCACGAAAGCGUGGGGAGCAAACAGGAUUAGAUACCCCAGUAGUCCCUGUCUCUUAUAC